rnacentral:rRNA from 1 species
GAUGAACGCUGGCGGCGUGCCUAAUACAUGCAAGUCGAGCGAACAGACGAGGAGCUUGCUCCUCUGACGUUAGCGGCGGACGGGUGAGUAACACGUGGAUAACCUACCUAUAAGACUGGGAUAACUUCGGGAAACCGGAGCUAAUACCGGAUAAUAUAUUGAACCGCAUGGUUCAAUAGUGAAAGACGGUUUUGCUGUCACUUAUAGAUGGAUCCGCGCCGCAUUAGCUAGUUGGUAAGGUAACGGCUUACCAAGGCAACGAUGCGUAGCCGACCUGAGAGGGUGGUCGGCCACACUGGAACUGAGACGCGGUCCAUACUCCUACGGGAGGCAGCAGUAGGGAAUCUUCCGCAAUGGGCGAAAGCCUGACGGAGCAACGCCGCGUGAGUGAUGAAGGUCUUCGGAUCGUAAAACUCUGUUAUUAGGGAAGAACAAAUGUGUAAGUAACUAUGCACGUCUUGACGGUACCUAAUCAGAAAGCCACGGCUAACUACGUG